rnacentral:rRNA from 1 species
UACGUAGGUGGCAAGCGUUAUCCGGAUUUAUUGGGCGUAAAGCGAGUGCAGGCGGUUUAUUAAGUCUGAUGUGAAAGCCCUCGGCUCAACCGAGGAAGUGCAUCGGAAACUGGUUAACUUGAGUGCAGAAGAGGAGAGUGGAACUCCAUGUGUAGCGGUGGAAUGCGUAGAUAUAUGGAAGAACACCAGUGGCGAAGGCGGCUCUCUGGUCUGUUACUGACGCUGAGGCUCGAAAGUAUGGGUAGCAAACAGG